rnacentral:rRNA from 1 species
UGGUGGAGUGAUUUGUCUGGUUAAUUCCGUUAACGAACGAGACGACCGUCUGCUAAAUAGUCCGCUUCAGGCUUCGGCCUGGGGACGUUUGACUUCUUAGAGAGACUAUCGGUGUGUAGCCGAUGGAAGUUGGUCGCAAUAACA